rnacentral:rRNA from 1 species
GGACUACUGGGGUAUCUAAUCCUGUUUGAUCCCCACGCUUUCGUGUAUGAGUGUCAGUAUAGGACCAGGUCGCCGCCUUCGCCGCCGGUGUUCCUCCUGAUAUCUACGUAUUUCACCACUACACCAGGAAUUCCACGACCCUCUUCCUUACUCAAGUUUGGGAGUUUUGAAUGCACUUCCCGAGUUAAGCCCGGGGCUUUCACAUCCAACUUUCCAAACCACCUGCACACGCUUUACGCCCAAUAAUUCCGAACAACGCUAGGACCCCCCGUCUUACCGCGGCUGCUGGCAC